rnacentral:rRNA from 1 species
AUGCACGCUGACAGAAUGCUUAACACAUGCAAGUCUACUUGAACUUCGGUUUGGGUGGCGGACGGGUGAGUAACGCGUAAAGAACUUGCCUCACAGUUAGGGACAACAUUUGGAAACGAAUGCUAAUACCUGAUAUUAUGAUUUUAGGGCAUCCUAAGAUUAUGAAAGCUAUAUGCACUGUGAGAGAGCUUUGCGUCCCAUUAGCUAGUUGGAGAGGUAACGGCUCACCAAGGCGAUGAUGGGUAGCCGGCCUGAGAGGGUGAACGGCCACAAGGGGACUGAGACACGGCCCUUACUCCUACGGGAGGCAGCAGUGGGGAAUAUUGGACAAUGGACCAAAAGUCUGAUCCAGCAAUUCUGUGUGCACGAUGACGUUUUUCGGAAUGUAAAGUGCUUUCAGUUGGGAAGAAAAAAAUGACGGUACCAACAGAAGAAGUGACGGCUAAAUACGUG